CCUACGGGAGGCAGCAGUGAGGAAUAUUGCACAAUGGGGGAAACCCUGAUGCAGCGACGCCGCGUGAGUGAAGAAGUAUUUCGGUACGUAAAGCUCUAUCAGCAGGGAAGAAACUGACGGUACCUGACUAAGAAGCCCCGGCUAACUACGUGCCAGCAGCCGCGGUAAUACGUAGGGGGCAAGCGUUAUCCGGAUUUACUGGGUGUAAAGGGAGCGUAGACGGCAGCGCAAGUCUGGAGUGAAAUCCCAUGGCUUAACCAUGGAACUGCUUUGGAAACUGUGCAGCUAGAGUGCAGGAGAGGGAAGCGGAAUUCCUAGUGUAGCGGUGAAAUGCGUAGAUAUUAGGAGGAACACCAGUGGCGAAGGCGGCUUACUGGACUGUAACUGACGUUGAGGCUCGAAAGCGUGGGGAGCAAACAGGAUUAGAUACCCUAGUAGUC
rnacentral:rRNA from 1 species